CGAGAUCGAAGGUCUGCGAGCAGAGUUAGAUGUUUUGCGAGCACUUCUUGACGAAGGCCUGCAGCAGAGACAGGAUGCUGAGCGCUCCCAAAAUGCAUUGAUCUCCAGAGUGGAGCAGCU
rnacentral:SRP_RNA from 1 species